rnacentral:snoRNA from 1 species
AUGCACAGUGAACACCCAUGUCUGCUUCUUUUGUAUCUCCCCUGGAUUUUACUCCGUGCUACAGUAAAAUGUGUGGUCUGUAACUCUAUAUUGGAGGAGUUGCAUUCUCCUCCACAUGUAUUCAACAGACUAGUACAUUU